AAAGAACAGCAGAAGCCAAACGAAAAGAGGGGAGAAAGGAAAGGGAAAGAAAAAUAAAAGGGAAAACUAGGGGUUUGAAGCUUGAAGUUUAAUUGGUAAGUUAAAUCAAGUCAUUUUCUCAUAAAUUUGAUGUUUUUGGAAUCUUAGAGUGAAAUACUCUUGGAUUUAAGUUGAAAAUUUGGAAGUUAAUAGAUUUUUAAGUAUAGUUCAUGUUGAACAAAUGUUUGAAUUAGGGGUUUAAUUGAUAGACUUAUUGAUUAGAAUUGAUUAAAGGAUUAAAUUGUAAAGUAAGCUAUAAGUUUUGCAUAGUAGGGACUAAAUUUCAAGAAUUUCAAAUGUUGGUAUUUAUGAUGAAAUUUAGAUAGUUAUGUCUAAGUUUGGUUGAAAUUUGAAUAGAAAUAAAGUAUGAACUAAGAUAGGAAAGUAAGUGAAUUUAAUUGGGACCAAAUUGAAUUUAUAGUAGAAAUUAGAUAGAAAUUGAAUAGGAAAAUUUAAAUAUUAGACUUAAGUUAAUAUUGUAUUAAUGAUUAUGAAAAUUAUCCUAAUUUUUCGUAGCUAAUAUCGCACCCGAGGCAUCCACGAAGAAAGGAAAAGAAAAAUUGGACAAGGAGUAGACAUGAGAAUCACGGUUUGUAUUAUUAUAAUUUAAAUCUAUUUAUUAUUAAUUGUUACAUUUUAAUUAAAAUGCAUGGUAAGUAAAAUUAGGUAAGCAAUUGAAAUGAUAAUAUUAAUUUGAAUGGAAUUGAUUUAAAAAUGUUUAUGGCUAUUGAAGUUGAAUGUGAAUAAAUUGGAAAUUAAAAGUGAUUUAAAUUGAAUCAAAUUGAAUUGAAUGAAGAAAAAUGUGCAAGUAUUUGAAAUGUGUAUUGAUUGAAAAAUAAUUAGUGAUUUGAAUUUGAUUGGAAAAUGAAUUAAAAAUAUAAUUGAAUAAAAGUGAAUUAAAUUAUGAUUAUGUAUGAAUAUAUGAAUUGUGUAUUGAUUGAAAAGUGGUUUGAAUUGAAUCGAAGUGUGAUUAUAUGUGAAUAUUUGAAAUAUGUAUUGGUAUUGAGUUGUGUAUUGAUUAGAAAAUGAAAAGUGAAUUUGAAUUGAAUCGUGACUGAAUCGAAAGUGAAUUUGAAAUAAAAAAAAAGGAAAUUAUUUGAAUACCCUAUUAACUAAUCGGGCUAAGUCGGAUAUAGUUGGCAUGCUAUAGGAUUGGAAGUGUUCAGGGAUACUUCGGCUUGGCCGAUGAGACACUGGGUGUCAUACUGUUACUUCGGGUCAUACUGUUACUUCGGAUAGAUUUGAUGAGGUACUGGGUAACAACUUACUUCGUCUUGGCCAAUGAGACACUGGGUUUUAUUUAUUGCUUCGAACUAUCCGAUGAGGCAGUACUGGGUGCCAUACUGGUGUGUUUGGUUGGAUCCGUGUAUCCGCCAAAGUCCAAGUCAUGUUAAUAAGGGGAAAAUAAAAGAAUUGAAGUAAGAAAUGAUAUUGAAUUAUGAAUUAUGUGAAUAUUCGAAGGUAUAUUUAUUGGAAAUAAAAAGCGAAUUGGAUUGAACUAAAUUGAUUUGGAAAUGAGACAUUGAAUUAAGAUGUGAAAAUGAACUGUGAGAAUCAUGGGUUCAAGAAACAGAUAAUGAUAAAGUUUAUGAAAUAGUUUUUGAUAAUAUGAAAUGAUGUAAAAAUGAGAAGUGAAAAUAAAAUGAUUUGAAAUAGUGAAAUAAUACUUGAAUUUAAUUGAAUACAAGCUAUUGAAAUAUAUUUAUGGAUUUAAUGUAUGAGUGAGUAUUAACUAUAAAUUGAUUAUAAAAGAAUGAAUUGACAAUGGAAAUUGAUAAUGGAUAAAUUAUUAAAAUGGAAUGGGAAAUUGAAAUGAAUGUGAAAUAGUUACUGAAAGACUAAUGUUGUAAGGUUUUAGAUAUGAAAUAGAAUAAGUUAUUGAAUUGAGAUAUAGAAAUGAAAUAUAUGAAAUAAUGAUUUUUAUGAAAUAGUUAUUGAUAAAAUGCAUGAAAUAGAUACUGAUGUAGUAAGAAGAUAAAUAAGUUAAAAUGAAGAGAAGCUAUUUAAAAUACAUAUUAUUAAAAUAAAAUUAAAGUUUAAAUGCAUGAAUGAUUUAUUAAUGGUAAAAUAGUGGUAAGAUUUAAUGAUGGUAAAAUAGUGGUAUAUAUAUAUAUAUAUAUAUAUAUGAUGUUUUUACCUUUAGUAUUUGAAUUAUAAUAAUACCACUGGGUGUAUACUCAACAUACGAUUUGUUUCCGUGCGCAGAUUAAGUAUAGAAAUUUUUGAAGAGUUGAAUUUGAGAUUGCAAGUUUUCAUCUCAUCACAUCUUCAAGCAACAACAGGGUAUGUUUUGAAGUUUUGAUUAGAAUGGCAUGUACUUAGGAAAAAAUAUUAGAUAUGUUCCAAGUAUUAGUUUUUAUGUUCAAUUAUAUUAGUAAUUAGCCAAGAAUUAAUUUGGCACCAAAUGUAAUAUUCCUAUAUCAGGUUUCUUAAGUCGAACAUGGUAUAGGGGUGUUACAUUUAAGUCAUGUAGCC
rnacentral:lncRNA from 1 species